rnacentral:rRNA from 1 species
UGGGUAGUCCGCACGAGCGCACCUUACUUUUAGUUGCUACCAUUCAGUUGGGCACUCUAAAAGAACUGCCAGUGAUAAGCUGGAGGAAGGUGGGGAUGACGUCAAGUCCUCAUGGCCCUUAUGUGUUGGGCUACACACGUGCUACAAUGGUAUUUACAGUGGGAUGCAACAAGGCAACUUCAAGCCAACCCUCAAAAAAUACCUCAGUUCGGAUUGUACUCUGCAACUCGAGUACAUGAAGCUGGAAUUACUAGUAAUCGCGGAUCAGCGCGCCGCGGUGAAUACGUUCCCGGGUCUUGUACACACCGCCCGUCACACCAUGGAAGUUGGUUACACCUUAAGGCAAAGUGUAAAACCUUUGACUACGGUACGAUCAGCGACUGGGGUGAAGUCGUAACAAGGUAGCCGUAGGGGAACCUGCGGCUGGAUCACCUCCUUUCU